CAAGUUUUAAAUAUUUUAUAUAAAUGAAAUAAAUUUGAAAGCAGAUUCCUGGAGAGAUUGAAUAUGAAAAUCAUACAAUUUCGAAAUUGUUGAAGUCUCCGGCUACACAACCAAAAGUUACGUAAUUUUUUCUGAACAUGCAGUAUAAAAUUAUUUGUAUAUAAAACAAUUUUUAAACAGCGAAGCAAUUAUUGCGAUAAAACGCAGAGAUGGUAUAAGACAAAAUUGUGAAAAAAGUAAAUAAAAAAAAAUACCAAAAACAAUCUAAAAAAUAAAAUUAAUGUAUAUAAACAAAAUACAAAAAACACAGAUAAAAAUUUGACAUUUCGAUAUGUGGAAUCGACGUUUUAGAGCGCAUGCACCAGACCAGAUAGAUAGAAAAGCACCAAAACUCAAUAAUACAAAACUGAAAGAAUUGCAAUUUCGUAAAUAUUUAUUUAUUCAAUUUAAAAAGAAAAAAAUAUACAACAACAUAUUAAAAAAUAUAUUCGCUUGAACCAUUGCAGCAGCAGCAGUGUAUUUAACGUCAUGAUGCCUUUCAUCAACACAAGUACAUAUAAUAAAUGGAGUGACGGAGGAUAGGUGAUAAUUUAUAUGACGUUGAAGAAAUUUCAUCAGUAAUAUUGGAAGAAAGACAAUAUAACCAGAGUUACCAAUUCCAAUCAAUAUCAACAGUGAACCAGAUUGAAUGAAAUGUGUAUAUUGCAGUGAGAACAAAGUGAGAACUACUGAAGAAAGUCAAACACUUCAU